rnacentral:rRNA from 1 species
UACGUAGGGGGCAAGCGUUGUCCGGAAUUAUUGGGCGUAAAGGGCAUGCAGGCGGUUCGCAAAGUUCGAGGUGACAAUCACCGGCUUAACCGGUGAACGAUUUCGAAAACUGGCGGACUAGAGAGCGAGAGAGGGACCUGGAACUCCGGGUGGAGCGGUGAAAUGCGUAGAGAUCCGGAAGAACACCACUGGCGCAGGCAAGGUCCUGGCUCGACUCUGACGCUGAGGUGCGAAAGCUAGGGGAG